GAUGAACGCUGGCGGCGUGCCUAAUACAUGCAAGUCGAGCGAACAGACCAGGAGCUUGUUCCUCUGACGUUAGCUGCGGACGGGUGAGUAACACGUGGAUAACCUCCCUAUAAGACUGGGAUAACUUCGGGAUACCGGAGCUAAUACCGGAUAAUAUAUUGAUCCGCAUGGUUCAUUAGUGAAAGACGGUUUUGCUGUCACUUAUAGAUGGAUCCGCGCCGCAUUAGCUAGUUGGUAAGGUAACGGCUUACCAAGGCGACGAUGCGUAGACGAUCUGAGAGGGGGAUCAGCCACACUGGAUCGGAGCCACGGCCCAGACCCCUACGGGAGGCAGCAGUAGGGAAUCGUCCGCAAUGGGCGAAAGCCGGACGGAGCAACGCCGAGUGAGUGAUGAAGGUCUUCGGAUCGUAAAUCUCUGCUAUUAGGAUAGAACAAAUGUGUAAGUAACUAUGCACGUCUUGACGGUACCUAAUCAGAAAGCCACGGCUAACUACGUG
rnacentral:rRNA from 1 species